GGGUUGUGAGGUUAAGCGACUAAGCGUACACGGUGGAUGCCCUGGCAGUCAGAGGCGAUGAAGGACGUGCUAAUCUGCGAAAAGCGUCGGUAAGGUGAUAUGAACCGUUAUAACCGGCGAUGUCCGAAUGGGGAAACCCAGUGUGAUUCGUCACACUAUCGUUAACUGAAUACAUAGGUUAACGAGGCGAACCGGGGGAACUGAAACAUCUAAGUACCCCGAGGAAAAGAAAUCAACCGAGAUUCCCCCAGUAGCGGCGAGCGAACGGGGAGCAGCCCAGAGUCUGAAUCAGCUUGUGUGUUAGUGGAACGGUCUGGAAAGUCCGACGGUACAGGGUGAUAGUCCCGUACACCAAAAUGCACAGGCUGUGAACUCGAAGAGUAGGGCGGGACACGUGGUAUCCUGUCUGAAUAUGGGGGGACCAUCCUCCAAGGCUAAAUACUCCUGACUGACCGAUAGUGAACCAGUACCGUGAGGGAAAGGCGAAAAGAACCCCGGCGAGGGGAGUGAAAAAGAACCUGAAACCGUGUACGUACAAGCAGUGGGAGCACCUUCGGGUGUGACUGCGUACCUUUUGUAUAAUGGGUCAGCGACUUAUAUUCUGUAGCAAGGUUAACCGUAUAGGGGAGCCGCAGGGAAACCGAGUCUUAACUGGGCGUUAAGUUGCAGGGUAUAGACCCGAAACCCGGUGAUCUAGCCAUGGGCAGGUUGAAGGUUGGGUAACACUAACUGGAGGACCGAACCGACUAAUGUUGAAAAAUUAGCGGAUGACUUGUGGCUGGGGGUGAAAGGCCAAUCAAACCGGGAGAUAGCUGGUUCUCCCCGAAAGCUAUUUAGGUAGCGCCUCGUGAACUCAUCUUCGGGGGUAGAGCACUGUUUCGGCUAGGGGGUCAUCCCGACUUACCAACCCGAUGCAAACUACGAAUACCGAAGAAUGUUAUCACGGGAGACACACGGCGGGUGCUAACGUCCGUCGUGAAGAGGGAAACAACCCAGACCGCCAGCUAAGGUCCCAAAGUCAUGGUUAAGUGGGAAACGAUGUGGGAAGGCACAGACAGCCAGGAUGUUGGCUUAGAAGCAGCCAUCAUUUAAAGAAAGCGUAAUAGCUCACUGGUCGAGUCGGCCUGCGCGGAAGAUGUAACGGGGCUAAACCAUGCACCGAAGCUGCGGCAGCGACACUAUGUGUUGUUGGGUAGGGGAGCGUUCUGUAAGCCUGCGAAGGUGACCUGUGAGGGUUGCUGGAGGUAUCAGAAGUGCGAAUGCUGACAUAAGUAACGAUAAAGCGGGUGAAAAGCCCGCUCGCCGGAAGACCAAGGGUUCCUGUCCAACGUUAAUCGGGGCAGGGUGAGUCGACCCCUAAGGCGAGGCCGAAAGGCGUAGUCGAUGGGAAACAGGUUAAUAUUCCUGUACUUGGUGUUACUGCGAAGGGGGACGGAGAAGGCUAUGUUAGCCGGGCGACGGUUGUCCCGGUUUAAGCAUGUAGGCUGGUUAUCCAGGCAAAUCCGGAUAAUCAAGGCUGAGGUGUGAUGACGAAGCACUACGGUGCUGAAGUAACAAAUGCCCUGCUUCCAGGAAAAGCCUCUAAGCAUCAGGUAACAUCAAAUCGUACCCCAAACCGACACAGGUGGUCAGGUAGAGAAUACCAAGGCGCUUGAGAGAACUCGGGUGAAGGAACUAGGCAAAAUGGUGCCGUAACUUCGGGAGAAGGCACGCUGGUGUGUAGGUGAAGUCCCUGCGGAUGGAGCUGAGACCAGUCGAAGAUACCAGCUGGCUGCAACUGUUUAUUAAAAACACAGCACUGUGCAAACACGAAAGUGGACGUAUACGGUGUGACGCCUGCCCGGUGCCGGAAGGUUAAUUGAUGGGGUUAUCCGUAAGGAGAAGCUCUUGAUCGAAGCCCCGGUAAACGGCGGCCGUAACUAUAACGGUCCUAAGGUAGCGAAAUUCCUUGUCGGGUAAGUUCCGACCUGCACGAAUGGCGUAAUGAUGGCCAGGCUGUCUCCACCCGAGACUCAGUGAAAUUGAACUCGCUGUGAAGAUGCAGUGUACCCGCGGCAAGACGGAAAGACCCCGUGAACCUUUACUAUAGCUUGACACUGAACAUUGAGCCUUGAUGUGUAGGAUAGGUGGGAGGCUUUGAAGCGUGGACGCCAGUCUGCGUGGAGCCAACCUUGAAAUACCACCCUUUAAUGUUUGAUGUUCUAACGUUGGCCCCUUAUCGGGGUUGCGGACAGUGUCUGGUGGGUAGUUUGACUGGGGCGGUCUCCUCCCAAAGCGUAACGGAGGAGCACGAAGGUUAGCUAAUCCUGGUCGGACAUCAGGAGGUUAGUGCAAUGGCAUAAGCUAGCUUGACUGCGAGCGUGACGGCGCGAGCAGGUGCGAAAGCAGGUCAUAGUGAUCCGGUGGUUCUGAAUGGAAGGGCCAUCGCUCAACGGAUAAAAGGUACUCCGGGGAUAACAGGCUGAUACCGCCCAAGAGUUCAUAUCGACGGCGGUGUUUGGCACCUCGAUGUCGGCUCAUCACAUCCUGGGGCUGAAGUAGGUCCCAAGGGUAUGGCUGUUCGCCAUUUAAAGUGGUACGCGAGCUGGGUUUAGAACGUCGUGAGACAGUUCGGUCCCUAUCUGCCGUGGGCGCUGGAGAAUUGAGGGGGGCUGCUCCUAGUACGAGAGGACCGGAGUGGACGCAUCACUGGUGUUCGGGUUGUCAUGCCAAUGGCACUGCCCGGUAGCUAAAUGCGGAAGAGAUAAGUGCUGAAAGCAUCUAAGCACGAAACUUGCCCCGAGAUGAGUUCUCCCUGAGACUAUAAGUCUCCUGAAGGAACGUUGAAGACGACGACGUUGAUAGGCCGGGUGUGUAAGCGCAGCGAUGCGUUGAGCUAACCGGUACUAAUGAACCGUGAGGCUUAACCUUACAACGCCGAAG
rnacentral:rRNA from 1 species